UACAGAGGGGGCAAGCGUUAUUCGGAAUUAUUGGGCGUAAAGGGCGCGUAGGCGGCCUGGCAAGUGGAAGGUGAAAUCCCUCGGCUUAACCGAGGAACUGCCCUCCAAACUGCUUGGCUUGAGUCCGGGAGAGGUGAGUGGAAUUCCCAGUGUAGCGGUGAAAUGCGUAGAUAUCAAGAGGAACACCUGCGGCGAAGGCGGGUUGCUGGGCUGACACUGACGCUGAGGCGCGAAAGCUAGGGGAGCGAACGGG
rnacentral:rRNA from 1 species